AGAGUUUGAUCCUGGCUCAGGACGAACGCUGGCGGCGCGCCUAACACAUGCAAGUCGAACGAGCGAGAGAGAGCUUGCUUUCUCGAGCGAGUGGCGAACGGGUGAGUAACGCGUGAGGAACCUGCCUCAAAGAGGGGGACAACAGUUGGAAACGACUGCUAAUACCGCAUAAGCCCACAGCUCGGCAUCGAGCAGAGGGAAAAGGAGCAAUCCGCUUUGAGAUGGCCUCGCGUCCGAUUAGCUAGUUGGUGAGGUAAUGGCCCACCAAGGCGACGAUCGGUAGCCGGACUGAGAGGUUGAACGGCCACAUUGGGACUGAGACACGGCCCAGACUCCUACGGGAGGCAGCAGUGGGGAAUAUUGCACAAUGGGGGAAACCCUGAUGCAGCGACGCCGCGUGAAGGAAGAAGGUCUUCAGAUUGUAAACUCCUGUUGUUGAGGAAGAUAAUGACGGUACUCAACAAGGAAGUGACGGCUAACUACGUGCCAGCAGCCGCGGUAAAACGUAGGUCACAAGCGUUGUCCGGAAUUACUGGGUGUAAAGGGAGCGCAGGCGGGAAGACAAGUUGGAAGUGAAAUCUAUGGGCUCAACCCAUAAACUGCUUUCAAAACUGUUUUUCCUGAGUAGUGCAGAGGUAGGCGGAAUUCCCGGUGUAGCGGUGGAAUGCGUAGAUAUCGGGAGGAACACCAGUGGCGAAGGCGGCCUACUGGGCACCAACUGACGCUGAGGCUCGAAAGUGUGGGUAGCANACAGGAUUAGAUACCCUGGUAGUCCACACCGUAAACGAUGAUUACUAGGUGUUGGAGGAUUGACCCCUUCAGUGCCGCAGUUAACACAAUAAGUAAUCCACCUGGGGAGUACGACCGCAAGGUUGAAACUCAAAGGAAUUGACGGGGGCCCGCACAAGCAGUGGAGUAUGUGGUUUAAUUCGACGCAACGCGAAGAACCUUACCAAGUCUUGACAUCCUGCGACGGACAUAGAAAUAUGUCUUUCCUUCGGGACGCAGAGACAGGUGGUGCAUGGUUGUCGUCAGCUCGUGUCGUGAGAUGUUGGGUUAAGUCCCGCAACGAGCGCAACCCUUACUGUCAGUUACUACGCAAGAGGACUCUGGCAGGACUGCCGUUGACAAAACGGAGGAAGGUGGGGAUGACGUCAAAUCAUCAUGCCCUUUAUGACUUGGGCUACACACGUACUACAAUGGCGUUAAACAAAGAGAAGCAAGACCGCGAGGUGGAGCAAAACUCAGAAACAACGUCCCAGUUCGGACUGCAGGCUGCAACUCGCCUGCACGAAGUCGGAAUUGCUAGUAAUCGUGGAUCAGCAUGCCACGGUGAAUACGUUCNCCGGGCCCUUGUACACACCGCCCGU
rnacentral:rRNA from 1 species